CCGACAGGUGGCUCUGGGGGACCCCAGCGCCCCCAAAGACCCUUCACCAAGGAGAGACCACCCGGGACAUCCCGAUGGAGACAGAUCCAUCCACGCUGCUGGCUCGUUUUGGGAUGAUGGCUCAGGUUUGGGGUGGAGUGUGCGGGUUUGGGAUGGAAGGAUCAGGGUUGAGAUGGAUGGAUGGGGUUUGGGAUGGAAGGAUCAGGUUUGGAAUGACAGCUCAGUUCUGGGAUGGAAUGAUCAGGUUUGGGAUGAUGGCUCAGGUUUGGGGUGAUGGCAGGCUCAGGUUUGGGAUGGAAAGAUCAGGUUUGGAAUGACAGCUCAGGUUUGGGAUGGAAGGAUCAGGUUUGGGAUAAUAGUUCAGGUCUGGGAUGGAAGGAUCAGGUUUGGAAUGAUGGUUCAGGUUUGGGAUGGAAGGUUCAGGUUUGGGUGGAUGUGGUGGUGGAGAUGACAGAGUCACUGUGGGGACUCCAGAUGUGGAGUUCAUAAAAUCAUGGAACUGUGGGAUGGUUGGAAUUGGGAAGGUCCCUAAAUCCCAUCCAGUGCCACCCCAUCCGUGGGCAGGGACACGUUCCAUUAUCCCAGGUGGCUCCAACACAGCCUUGGAUAUUUCCAGGGACGGGGAAGGUGCUCUGAGCCAACAGCAGGAAGGUUUGGAUUCAGCAGGAAUGGGGGAAAACUUGGAAAAAGGGAAAGGAAAUGUCUGUGGUUUAAAUCCAUGGAGGGGAGAGUGGGUCCAGCUCAGACCCCCCGGCCACACUCCAGAACAUCCCAGCUCUCUGGAAACCCUGGGAACUCCUGCAUGAUCCCAAAAUCUGGGAGUGGGGACCUCAGAGAUCAUGGGCACAGCGGAUUUUCCCUCCUCCUGCAGCCGCCAGCUGUCCCUGUCCCCUCCAGCAGCAGAAUUCCAGCCCCGGGACCCCCAGUGAUCCCAGAAUCGGGAUGGGACGAGCCCCAGAAUCGCUGCCGCACACCGGGGACACGGGGCUGUCCCGCCCGCGCUGCCCGGGGCAUCUGGCUCCAAUUAGCAGCCAGCAUUAAUUAAUCUCGGCCCACGAAAGAGCCGCUGGACCGGCUCCAGCUGGACGGAGCUGGGGGAGCUGACGGAGCGGCUUUUCCAAGGGAUUGGGAUGGGGUAAAAUGUUGGGAACGAGCUGUGGGGUCCGGGCGGUGACACCGGGGAGGUGAAGGGACUCUCGGCCCCAAAACCUGCGCUUUGGGAUCGCUGAUCCUGCCGGGAUCCUGCCGGGAUCCUGCCGGGAUGGGGCCGUGGGAGGGGGGAUGAGCAGCGCCCGCCCCCAGCCGGGCUCUGGAGAGAUUUGGGAACAGCGGAGGCUCCUCCGGGAAGAACAAAACUCCCCCUCCCGUUUGCCGCUGUCCAGACAAACCCACCCCGGCUCCCAGUGCCGCCAGUUUGCGCUGGGACAGCCACUGGGACACCCUCGGGAAGCUCUGGGAUCCCACAACAGCAGCGGCUUUGGGAUCGGGAUCGGGAUUGGCAUUGACAUUGGGAUCAGGAUCAGGAUUGGGAUCGGGAUUGGGAUCGGGAUCGGGGUUGGGAUCGGGAUCGGGAUUGGGAUCGUGGUUGGGAUCGGGGUUGGGAUCGGGAUUGGAAUCAGGGUUGGGAUCGGGAUUGGGAUCGGGAUCGGGAUUGGCAUUGGCAUUGACAUUGGGAUCAGGA